GUUUACAUCCAUACCACUCUGAACGUGCUGGAUCUCGUCUGAUCUUGGAAGCUAAGCAGAGUCUGGCCUGGUUGGGAGUACUUGGAUGGGAGACUACCUAGGAAGAACAGGCACUGUAGGCA
rnacentral:rRNA from 1 species